rnacentral:rRNA from 1 species
UACGAAGGGGGCUAGCGUUGCUCGGAAUCACUGGGCGUAAAGCGUGCGCAGGCGGCGCGCUAAGACAGGUGUGAAAGCCCCGAGCUUAACUUGGGAAUUGCGCUUGUGACUGGCGUGCUGGAGUGUGGCAGAGGGAGGUGGAAUUCCACGUGUAGCAGUGAAAUGCGUAGAGAUGUGGAGGAACACCGAUGGCGAAGGCAGCCUCCUGGGCCAGCACUGACGCUCAUGCACGAAAGCGUGGGGAGCAAACAGG